UAGCGUCUAAAAUAUUACUGGCGUUAUAUGUAUUGACGCAAAGUUAUCUUACCAGUCCAAUUAGUUACGGCGCCUAGAGACAUGACGCUAAAGCUUAUCUUUUACAAAGCGAAUUUCGUCGCCGCAUACAAUUUUGACUGAGAUUUAUUUUAACCGCAGUUUGUGUUUAUUUCACUGCGAUUUUGAGCCGACGGAAUUAAUUUGGUGACGCAAAAUGCAAAUUUAAGUUUUUUUUCGCCGUAAAAGGUAAGGAACUAAGGACGUAUAUUUUCCCCCCUUUUUCUUCUUCCCCAGCCCGAUAUCCUAGUACCCCUUGUUGCCCCUUCCCACGUCUUUGUCUCUAUCACACUAAGUGCCCCAAGCCUCGUUAUUGCCCCACGUCUGUGCUAAGGCCUCUCUGUCUCUCUGUCUUUAUCUCUAGCUUAUCUCUAUUUGCAGCACAUAACCCACAAAUCUGGUCGAUUGGUCCCUCACUUUCACUCCGAUAGAGAUUUUCUCUGGUCCACAACAGCACGUCACAAGAAGAAAAUGGACAAAAGUUGAAUGCACCUCACCGAUAGAUUUUGGUCAAGGGAAUAUGGCAAAGGGGUCAAGCAGUUUCUCACAAUGGCUCGAGCUCAUGCCCUCGGAAACAACAGUGUUCAGGGACGUUCUAGGGAAAAGAUCAGGCUAUGAAAGGGGUUUGGGCGAGAAGGUGAUGCCUGUAACAUCAGGAACAGUGAGUGCUCUUGAGAAUGGAGGUGUCUUGUUAGAGGAUGCAUUGUUUUACAAGGCCCAAUUUGAGGCACUAAAGGCCAAUGUUCAGCAAAUAUUUGUCAAGCAAGUGGAGUUUGAUAAAUUUAUGACAUACUCAAUGUCACAGCAGCUACCCCAGGGAGAGUUUUCGAGGGAGACACCGGGAGCUGUCUAACUUUGGUACACAACACUUAUUGGGAUUUUUUGGUUUUUUGAGAGGCAACGGGAUGACUACUAGUGGGUGGUUGUCUGUGGUAAUUUUGUGAGUGCUUCUCUAGACACAUGGUUGGGUACAUGAUAGACUAAAGGGACUGAUGCAUGCAUUAUUAACACAUGCUUAGCAAGAUCCAGAUCUUGCAAGAUACAAAGGAUGGGCAAUGGGUUGUAUGAAAUGAUGUUGUAGCCAUGGAGCACUGCAAGAGGGACAGCUUGUGGCAUUUUGCAUGUACUACAAGUGUCAAUAUUUCCAGAAUUUUUGUUGUGGGGGCGACAGUGCCCUAAACAGGUACCUACUUCUGCAAACUCCAUAGUGACAUAUGGUAGAAUAUCUUUGCAAUUUAGGUUGAUACUUUGGGCUACUUCAUUCUAUGCCAUGAAUUUUAUAUGGUCUGAAAACAACUCCUGUAAAUAUUAUUGAUGGAUAUAAUUUUAGGGUAGGUAUGAAUAUAUUUUACUUAAUAUAGUGGCCUUUUAGCUUGAUUAAACUUGAGGUGUUACUACUAAUUUAUGGGCCUAAAUUGUAGUACUGCUUCUUUAAGAUGAAGCCUGAGUGUUGAUGCAACUUGGUGUGUAAAUAGUUUGGAAAAUGUAGUAUGAAUUUUCUAGAAUUGAACUAGCUUAGAUGUUGAUCAUGUGAUAACAUUUUUUGCCAAAUAAGUUCUGUCACCAGUUGGUUGCAAUGGGACCUCUGGGAUUUAGUUAAAAAAUUUAAUAUCUGACAUGUAUAUAGUAGAAUGAACAAACAAAAAGAUGGUUCUUAGGUUCCAAGGCUAUGUCCACAUAGGUAGUAUAAAAAUCCCUUUAUUUGUUUUAACAUAUACAUGGGGUUAAAUGAGCCAUUGGUAGUUUAUGUUAACAAGCUGAGAGCUGCUACAAGCUGUUGUUGAUGGUAUAUUUGAUUUUUUAAACAACUUCAUUUAUGUUGGAUUAGUGGUCUUUCAUAUCUCGUGUUAUUAUUACUUGGUUGAUUCCAUUCUUAGAAAAAAUGGAGCCAGGAAAAGGUAUAUUACACUGCCAAGCUUAUGGGUCAUUACCAAAGAGAUGGGAUCUAUAGGUUCUGUUCGGAAAUUCUCACCAUGCUACUAAGAUAGAGAGGACUCAAAUUUUGUCUGCCACAUGACAUUGUGUAACCAGCACAUAUUAAUGUUGCCUUGUAUUAAAUUUACAAAUGAUCAUUGAACAUGUUUCGGCAUAGUGGUGUAUUAUUUAACUUGAUCUUGUUUUGGUACUAAUAUAUGUAUAGAGUGAUUGGCACAUUUGUCACCUAGAUUAGGAAAUAUAGUACUUCUCAAACUGGGUGGUAAUUUCUGUGCAUGUAAUACCCGUUGGCCUCCAAAUGAUAGUAUAGUAGUAUCUUUUCAGUUGAAAUUGAAAUUGUUUGAAUCCUUGAAUUAUGUCAACUGCUGCAUUAUUCUAUUGCUAGUCAGGGUUAUAAUAAUAUUGAGAUCUGGCCAAACUAAUAGAAUUUAUAGCUUAUAAAUAUUUUCAUACAACAAUAUUAAAGUUUGCAUUUUUGGUAACCAACUAGACCCAGGCCAAAAAUCUAUGAUAGCACAUAUAUAUGUUGGUCUCCUAUUUUAAACAAUGAUUCCAAUGGGAUUAAUAUUUGUGAGGCAACUAAUUGCAUCGGUAAUUAGUUGGAGUAUUUGUAUUAAAUAUACUUCUAUUGCGACAAACAUAGAAGUCCAUUUGUGUAUAAAUGGGACAGUUACGGGGAAAUAAAAUCACCGCAAAUAUAUUUCACUAUGGGGAUCUUUAUUCGUGUCACUAUUUGUUCGCUACAAGAACUACAACUUUUGCUGCGCAUAAUUAAUGCUUUUGUGAUGUAUACUAGAAAUAUAUUUCAUGAUCCAAUUUGUGGCGAACCUACUAAUAUUUGCUGCGUGACGUUUGGGCCCAUUAAUGGCAAUUUCCAUUUCAUUUAGACACCAAGCAAUAGACGCUAAUAGAUUUUCGCUACCAAUAUUUUUCACUGCUAAAAUAAUCGAUGGUAGGACAUGAACUAUUUGUGUCUCAUACUUUUCGCCAUAAAUAUAAAACUUUAUCAAUUAACUUUUCAGUAGCAAUGAUAAUGUUUUUGCGACAUUAAAUACACUGUCACAACAACUAUAUAUUGCGGCGCUGUGGUAGUAUUUGUGACUCUAAAAAUAGGCUAAAAAAUUAAUGAUUUGCACCAUUCAACAUUUUUUGCGGCAGAUUAAACAUGUAAAUUGCGGCGCCCAAUUCGCAAAUAGAUUUCCUGCUAAGCCGUGUAAAACUUUUUGAGACCAACUUCUAUCGACCACGUAGCAGCGAACAGCAUGGAACGAGAAAGCUUUUUUGUGAGCUGAUUUUGAGCUAUUGCUGCAAUUUUCACCGACACAAAAUGUGUGUUAUGUUGUAGUGACUCACCCCAUUCUUCAAACCCUCUAUGUCUAUCUCUUGCGCCCCCCUCCCCCAAAUCACUCAUCUAUAGAUCUACUCUCUCUCUCUCUCUCUCUCUCUCUCUCCAGAAACUCACUCCCUUUUCUUCAUCCUAUAUCUUGGGCUCGAAGGUCUUCUCUCCCUCUCCCUCUCUCUCUCUCUCUCUCUCUCUCUCUCUCUCUCUCUCUCUCUCUCUCUCUAUCACACAUAAAACCCUAGCUAGUGGGCACAAAAGUUUGUUCUCUGUAAUUUGGUUCUGUUUUACUCCGUCGCUUCAUCGUCUUCUCAGUUUCUUGGGUCAAAGAGAUUUUAUGCUUGUUAUUUGAUCUAAAGAUACUUGUUACCUUUGUUAUUUGUUGUUGUCGAUUUUUCUAGAUAUAUGCAAGUGCAUAUGGCAUAUGGGUUUAUUUGUCUCCAGAGAUAGCCGAUUGAGGCACCGAUCUAUUUAGCUCUCUCUAUCUAUCUCUCUAUUGCAUCAAAACCCUAGCCUCUCACAACUCAGCUUUCCUCUUCUUUAAGUAAGACAUGGCUUUUGGGUAAGAUUUUGUUCAUCACAAAUAUGUGUUCUUUUUUUAAUUUCUAGUUGGAUCUAUGUUUAUGUUCUUUUCAUAUUAUAGUUGGGUUUUUUUAAACAUGGCUUGUGUGUGUGUAUGUUUUUUUUAAGCAUUUGAGGGUUUUCGGUGGUAGCGUUUUUCUUCCCUAAAGCUUUAGAUCUGAUGCUAUUUGGUUUAUUAUUUAAAUUUUAUUGAAAAUUAUUCCUUGUGAGUUAUGAUAUAAACAGAUGCUUGAUGUUAUAAACAGAUCCUUAUGUUUCCCUGUUCCUUGUGAGUUAUGAUAUUUGGUUCUUUAUCUUUUAUUUCCUUUGUUCUCUCUAUUGAUUUGAGUCUAUUUUGAUGACAAUGCUUUGCUUAAUGCUUUAUGCUUGAUACUCAGUGCUACUCUGUUUUCUCAAAAUAUGCAUAAUAUAAGAUGUAGCCUUAGAUGAAAUCAACACACGAAAUAACUGAUUUGAAGAUGUGGUUUUGUUGGGUUUAAGAUGAUUUUUGGAUAUGCACAAAUGUCAAUGUUUUAUGGGAACUUGAAUUCAAAACAGUGUGUUGUGUAUUUGGAUAUGCCAAGUGGAUUUUAUCAAAACCAAUGGCUCUUCUAUCUCCCUAUUUACUUACUUAAAUGUUAUCUGAAAUAAUUGGAUUUUUGUUAUCUGAACUCCUUUAUGCCAUUAUGCUCUAUUGACGACUGGGGGUGGAGCACAUUCUAGAACCACAAGAAGCUGGUUGCAGGGGACAAGCUGAUUGAAGAAUGAAAGGAGGCUAGCCCUCAAGUAGUAGUACUGAACAAGUGUAAUGAAGUAAAGGGUGUUAUUUAUGAUAUCAUCCCAACUUGGCAAAACUGAUUGGUUAUUGUUGUGAUAAAGUAAAGGGUGUUGUUUAUUUUGUAAUUCAAAUCUUGUAAUUUUGUAUUGUAAUAUAAUGUGUAAAUAACAAAAUAAUAUAAUAUGUAAUGGGUUGCAUGUAUUUUAGUUUUUUA